rnacentral:rRNA from 1 species
UACGGAGGGGGCGAGCGUUAUUCGGAAUUAUUGGGCGUAAAGGGCGCGUAGGCGGCCUUGCAAGUCAAAGGUGAAAUCCCUCGGCUCAACUGAGGAACUGCACGGGAGACUGCCGGGCUUGAGUUCGGGAGAGGGAAGCGGAAUUCCGGGUGUAGCGGUGAAAUGCGUAGAUAUCCGGAGGAACACCGGUGGCGAAGGCGGCUUCCUGGACCGACACUGACGCUGAGGCGCGAAAGCUAGGGGAGCAAACAGG